rnacentral:lncRNA from 1 species
UGUAGGCUGGAUCUGUGUCUGCCUUGAAAUGGAAAAGAUAUUCAGGGAGAAAGAGUUGUUACACUGUGUUUUUAAUUCGCUAAGGAGCUGUCUGGAUGUUUGCCAUUUCAGGACGAGAAAGGUCCCAUAGUUCUGUUGGAGAAAAAAGUGGGAGUUGAGUGAUUGGCCACGUUCCCUUCAAGUCGCUGUUUCACGUGUCACUACAGAGUCGUCAUCUCUGUUAUUCCCUCUGGAAAGGAAUAUAAAAAUGUUCUUCCGUGUGUUGCAAAGAGUCAUAAUUCAGCGCCCGGAACAUCAGCCUUGUCAACCUCCAACCGCUCACAGAAGGAAAAUUAAGAGUUUCACGUGAUGCGAUUGAACAUAUGGUUGAGAGAUACUU